rnacentral:misc_RNA from 1 species
AACGCACCUUGCACCCUUUGGCAUUCCGAAGGGUAUGCUCGUUUGAGUGUCAUUGUACUCUCACACUCUCCGAUCCUAUGGAUUCGGGGAGCGGUGGACUUGGGUGUUGCUGCUUUCCUUGUGGCUCACCUCAAAUGCGUCAGUACACCUCUUGGUUGGACAUAGUACGGCGUGAUAAGUGUCUUCGCCGGCACCUCGCAAGAGGGUGGCCGAUCGGGAGCUCUGUGCUUUCAAACCGUCUUCGGACAAUUUCUGACAACUUGACCUCAAAUCGAGUAGGACUACCCGCUGAACUUAA